AAUAAUAUUUACAUUAGAAAAAUAUUAUUUGAAAAUGCAUUGUUCAAAAUUAUAAAUAAUAUUUUGCUGAUUGUGUAACUUGUUAAAAUAAUAUAUGGUGAAGCAGGCUGCAGUCUAUAUAUCCCUGAUAUAAUAGAACAGCUUUAAAAUGAAUGUUUCAACAGAAUGCCUAUAUCAUUGCCAUAACAACAACUAUGAUAUAAUAUAUAUGUAAUAUAAGUGUAAACUAUAUAUAAGAUAACAGGAAAUAUAUUGCCAGCUAUGCAAAUAAAAUGCUUUUAUUAUAUGGAAAGAUAAGUUUUUAUCUUGUAAUCUUAUAGAUGAUCUGUCAGACCACACACUACACUUAAUUCUUGAUAAGUGCUGUAAGACAAAGGUACAUUUCUUAAAAUGUUUUAAUCACUAUAGUUAACUCUGUCUUUAACUUGCAGGUAUACACAAAAAAUAAUUUUUUCACAGACCUUUAUUCCAGUAUGAUCUUCUGAUCCACCUGUUUACAAGAAAGCAUAAUUAGCUCCUUACACAAAAUACCUCUGUGACUGCUAAAAUUCAUGAAUAUAAUACCAUCCAGUAUAUAAGACCCACAGAUAUUCAAAUUGAAUAAGACCUACAGAUAUUUAGCAAACUUUAUAGAUAGAAUUUAUAAAGAUCUCCCAUAAGUAACAUCCUAAUGUUUAUAAACGAAGUCUAAUAUCUUAUCUUUCUUUUAAUUCCAUAAAAUCAAAACUAAAAAAAAGAAGCGGGAUUAUUGCUUCUACAUAAUAGAUAAAACACAGUAUAUGAUGUCUUACAUAAUGAUAAGACUAAGCUUUUGCAUUUUGCCCAUUCAGGAAUUUAUUCUGGCCCAUAGUGAAGAUCUUGACAGAACAGAUAUAUAUUGGAAGUACAAUGAGAAGCUUAAACAUGCAAAGAACUUAAAAGAGAUAUAUAUUGCCACUGGAAGAAUUUCUAAUGCUCUCUCUCUCAUUAGAUUUUACAAGAUGUUAUUUUGUAUUAACUAGACUCAAGAUAGAAUUAUAGCUGACAUUAGAUCCCUAGAAGAGCUUAAGAUGGCAGAACGUUACAGAUUGCCAAAUAUGCUUCUAUUCAUUACAUCAUUAAUGAUAAUACUCUUGAAAUAUCAUCAUCAUGAUGCUUAAUGCCAUGAGCACUUUUAGAUAAUAAUAGUAUGUUAAUAAUGAGACUGUAUAGUUCAAUAAUAUAUGAAAAAUUAAACCAUAACAUUACUAUUUCCUGUUUUCUUAUGCACAUUUUGUACUUAUGAUAAUAAGAUAUGUUAUGUAUAUAUUAUGACUGGCAGUUGUUAUGGUAAUGAUGUGGCGUUCUGUUGGAACUUAUUUGUUGUAAGCUGUUUUAUUUUAUUGUUUUGUAAAAAGCGGAAGACUUUGUGUUUUAAUCAAUUUUUUUCUAUCUAUCUAUUUCGAGUUUGACAUUUCAAAUUAGCACAAAAUAUAAAUAUCUUGGAAAAUUAAUUGUUA
rnacentral:lncRNA from 1 species